rnacentral:rRNA from 1 species
AAUCCAUAGGUUAAUGAGGCGAACCGGGGGAACUGAAACAUCUAAGUACCCCGAGGAAAAGAAAUCAACCGAGAUUCCCCCAGUAGCGGCGAGCGAACGGGGAGGAGCCCAGAGCCUGAAUCAGCAUGUGUGUUAGUGGAAGCGUCUGGAAAGGCGCGCGAUACAGGGUGACAGCCCCGUACACAAAAGCGCAUGUGCUGUGAGCUCGAUGAGUAGGGCGGGACACGUGGUAUCCUGUCUGAAUAUGGGGGGACCAUCCUCCAAGGCUAAAUACUCCUGACUGACCGAUAGUGAACCAGUACCGUGAGGGAAAGGCGAAAAGAACCCCGGCGAGGGGAGUGAAAAAGAACCUGAAACCGUGUACGUACAAGCAGUGGGAGCACCCUUUGGGUGUGACUGCGUACCUUUUGUAUAAUGGGUCAGCGACUUAUAUUCUGUAGCAAGGUUAACCGAAUAGGGGAGCCGGAGGGAAACCGAGUCUUAACCGGGCGUUAAGUUGCAGGGUAUAGACCCGAAACCCGGUGAUCUAGCCAUGGGCAGGUUGAAGGUUGGGUAACACUAACUGGAGGACCGAACCGACUAAUGUUGAAAAAUUAGCGGAUGACCUGUGGCUGGGGGUGAAAGGCCAAUCAAACCGGGAGAUAGCUGGUUCUCCCCGAAAGCUAUUUAGGUAGCGCCUCGUGAAUUCAUCUCCGGGGGUAGAGCACUGUUUCGGCUAGGGGGCCAUCCCGGCUUACCAACCCGAUGCAAACUGCGAAUACCGGAGAAUGUUAUCACGGGAGACACACGGCGGGUGCUAACGUCCGUCGUGAAGAGGGAAACAACCCAGACCGCCAGCUAAGGUCCCAAAGUCAUGGUUAAGUGGGAAACGAUGUGGGAAGGCCCAGACAGCCAGGAUGUUGGCUUAGAAGCAGCCAUCAUUUAAAGAAAGCGUAAUAGCUCACUGGUCGAGUCGGCCUGCGCGGAAGAUGUAACGGGGCUAAACCAUGCACCGAAGCUGCGGCAGCGACACUGUGUGUUGUUGGGUAGGGGAGCGUUCUGUAAGCCUGUGAAGGUGUGUCGUGAGGCAUGCUGGAGGUAUCAGAAGUGCGAAUGCUGACAUAAGUAACGAUAAAGCGGGUGAAAAGCCCGCUCGCCGGAAGACCAAGGGUUCCUGUCCAACGUUAAUCGGGGCAGGGUGAGUCGACCCCUAAGGCGAGGCCGAAAGGCGUAGUCGAUGGGAAACGGGUUAAUAUUCCCGUACUUGGUGUUACUGCGAAGGGGGGACGGAGAAGGCUAUGUUGGCCGGGCGACGGUUGUCCCGGUUUAAGCGUGUAGGUGUGUGUUCCAGGUAAAUCCGGU